GAAGGGAGCUUGCUCCCGGAUGUUAGCGGCGGACGGGUGAGUAACACGUGGGUAACCUGCCUGUAAGACUGGGAUAACUCCGGGAAACCGGAGCUAAUACCGGAUAGUUCCUUGAACCGCAUGGUUCAAGGAUGAAAGACGGUUUCGGCUGUCACUUACAGAUGGACCCGCGGCGCAUUAGCUAGUUGGUGAGGUAACGGCUCACCAAGGCGACGAUGCGUAGCCGACCUGAGAGGGUGAUCGGCCACACUGGGACUGAGACACGGCCCAGACUCCUACGGGAGGCAGCAGUAGGGAAUCUUCCGCAAUGGACGAAAGUCUGACGGAGCAACGCCGCGUGAGUGAUGAAGGUUUUCGGAUCGUAAAGCUCUGUUGUUAGGGAAGAACAAGUGCAAGAGUAACUGCUUGCACCUUGACGGUACCUAACCAGAAAGCCACGGCUAACUACGUGCCAGCAGCCGCGGUAAUACGUAGGUGGCAAGCGUUGUCCGGAAUUAUUGGGCGUAAAGGGCUCGCAGGCGGUUUCUUAAGUCUGAUGUGAAAGCCCCCGGCUCAACCGGGGAGGGUCAUUGGAAAACUGGGAAACUUGAGUGCAGAAGAGGAGAGUG
rnacentral:rRNA from 1 species